rnacentral:rRNA from 1 species
GAUGAACGCUGGCGGCGUGCCUAAUACAUGCAAGUCGAACGCUUCACUUCGGUGAAGAGUGGCGAACGGGUGAGUAAUACCUAAGUAACCUGGCAUCUACAGGGGGAUAACUGAUGGAAACGUCAGCUAAGACCGCAUAGGUGUAGAGAUCGCAUGAACUCUAUAUGAAAAGUGCUACGGGACUGGUAGAUGAUGGACUUAUGGCGCAUUAGCUUGUUGGUAGGGUAACGGCCUACCAAGGCGACGAUGCGUAGCCGACCUGAGAGGGUGACCGGCCACACUGGGACUGAGACACGGCCCAGACUCCUACGGGAGGCAGCAGUAGGGAAUUUUCGGCAAAGGGGGAAACCCUGACCGAGCAACGCCGCGUGAAGGAAGAAGUAAUUCGUUAUGUAAACUUCUGUCAUAGAGGAAGAACGGUGGAUAUAGGGAAUGAUAUCCAAGUGACGGUACUCUAUAAGAAAGCCACGGCUAACUACGUG